rfam:Picea glauca, whole genome shotgun sequence.
UUUCUGUGAUGAUGAAUGUUAGAAAUAUUACACACUUCGGAGAUGGACACCAUCGAUGAGACAAAUGUUCAUUAUGAGCAGAAU